CAUCCCGGCUGCAGGCUUUGUGUCCCCAGGUCCUUGCCGGUCAUGGACUGAAACGGCAAACCACCCUCCCGGGACGCCUCUGGGUAAAUCCUCCCCUUACCUGAGCCGGGACUCUCUCACCUGGCCAUAAAGAGCUGGGUGCUCCCUGCCUGCGCCUGCGCGCUGCUUCCGCGCUGCCCCCGCGCUGCCUUCCCCCCCGCCCCCCAGCUCCGGCACCAACACCGGCCCUGGCCCUAGCUCCGGCCCCGACCUCGACCCCAAGGACCCCUGGUGCAGUGCCACGACCAAAGCCACUCCGCCCUCUGUGAGCCUCUCGGGGACCGAAGUGCCCAAGUGUCCCGGAAAGUUGCCGCGGUGUAGCACAGCUCCGGUUUCACACCCCGAAAAAGAGGGAGCACGACCUCUGCCUCAUCUCCAGAGGCUGGGCGCAGAGGGAGCGGAAGACGGGAGCAGCCCUCCAGCGACAGGAUUUUAAGGAGAGUCGCUCCGCAAAAUUAAUUUUCCACUUUGCAGUUGCACAGGAAACACUUCGCAGUUCGGAGGCAGGCGAACGUGGCAUCGUGUCCCAGGUGUGGGCCAUUUUAAGGCUUUCUAAAAGCAGGGGCGCGUUAUCCCUCACUUAGGAGGUCGUGCUGUGCCGCGUCCUGGCGUGCUAGACCCAGCUCAGCCUGCAGUAAGGAGAACGCCCCACUUAUAUAGAUCUUGGGGACAAGGAACUUUCAGAAGGGAGGUCCGGGGGGAAGCAAGAAGCGAGAGCCGGUACCCGCAGACAGUCGACGCCUGGAUUCCUGCGGGGCUCCGCUUCCCCGCCUCUCACCGCAGCGAGAUGAGGUCGGUGAAGACCGAGCCCCUUCCGCGGACACCGGCGGUUCCCGAAGCGCAGCAGCGGGGUCAAUGGGCCAUGCGAGCCACGCUUCGUCCCGCCGCUCUCAGCGCCUGCCCGCGGUGUACAGUUAGCGUCAAAUUACAGCAAUUAGCUGGGCACCGGAAUUUAAUUAUCCAGCCCUGCCCCUUCCCUACACACCCCCUACCCGGGUCUCGGGGAAGCUUCUGCUCAGGGAAGAACCGGAGCAAAGACAGCCCCAUGCGAAACGGGAGAGGGAUGGAGGAGAUACACAGAUUUCGUGGCGCCGGGACUCUGUCGCUUACUUCUUUUUCCCCUGCCCUCCACUCUGCCCUCUCCAGGAGGCGGCAAUUUUAGUCCCAUAACGACUUUUAAAAACAUUUCUUUAUCCAUUUAUUUAUUUACUGUUCAGGGGAUUCAUCCGAUGCGAAGCUGGCCUUCGGUGAUUUCGCUCCCAGUAAAUCUGAGCGCCACGCUUCUGCUAUGCUCUCGGUGGAAUCUUCCCUGCUCCUGUCGCUCCCCAUGCAGGGUUAAAUUUCCCCCUUCAGGACCAAGCUCUACCCCGUGGAACCUGGCAGACAGGCGGCCUCAGCACCUCGCCUGCGGACCGGGAGCCGUGGAUUUGGGGCUACGGACCAGCCUUGGGCUCGCCCCUACGCUUUUUUGGGUGGUUUUUGGGUUUGGUUUGUUUUUUAGCCUAAGGGCGAAGGGCAUGGGCUGGGCGUGCUGUAGAGCCCCCGGGAUUGUGAGGUGCUCCUUUUUUCCUCCCUAGGGCGUUUGGUAACCGCACUUUGGGGGCUAAUUCGGCUUCCCUGGCCCGGCCGUUUAGAAGACUCGUUCUGUCGGCAGCCUUCCGGGCAAAACCGGCACUUGAAGGUGGCUAAAGCCACCACACCCUAGGUUACUGCCACCCCUGAGGUGCCAGCUCUGGGUGUCUUCCUCGUCCUGCCUGCCCUGCCGCCUGUCUCCUCCGCGUGAGAAGGGAAGAUGAGGCUGAGGAAACUUGUGUCCCCAGACAAAACAGUCUCUUUUAAAGCAAAGGCACACGCAGCCUUUUUUCCCCCCACUUCCUCCUCCCUCUUUCUCACACCGCCUGGUUGACAGUUCGGCAUUGAUUUUGGCAGGUGGAUCGGAGAGAGUCACCGAGCAGCUCCAUCCCCUCUGAUUUGUGAUGGACCCGCCGGGUACCUCCCCGUAUGUCACAGCGCGGGAAGCAGACGGGACAAAGCCCUUGCCUGCUCCCCUUCUCCUCCACAGCAGCAGCCCUUUGGCUAAACCCCUUCACGAAUUUCUUCCCAGCUCUUCGGGUGCUUUCCCCUGCCGUGCGUCCGUUUUCCCCAGCCAGCCCGAGUUACUGCCAGGUGCCUGUAUCCCGUGAGCUGGGAAUAUCCGCACCUGCCCGGCCCCCAGCUGCCAUCCAGACUCUUCUCUCUUCUUGCUGCGCAAGGGCGGCGGGUAAGCCCGGCUCCCGGAGAGUUCAGGGUUGGUUAUUCCUCCCG